UACGUAGGGCGCAAGCGUUAAUCGGAAUUACUGGGCGUAAAGCGUGCGCAGGCGGUUAUGCAAGACAGAUGUGAAAUCCCCGGGCUCAACCUGGGAACUGCAUUUGUGACUGCAUGGCUAGAGUACGGUAGAGGGGGAUGGAAUUCCGCGUGUAGCAGUGAAAUGCGUAGAUAUGCGGAGGAACACCGAUGGCGAAGGCAAUCCCCUGGACCUGUACUGACGCUCAUGCACGAAAGCGUGGGGAGCAAACAGG
rnacentral:rRNA from 1 species